rnacentral:rRNA from 1 species
AACGAACGCUGGCGGCAGGCUUAACACAUGCAAGUCGAGCGCCCCGCAAGGGGAGCGGCAGACGGGUGAGUAACGCGUGGGAACAUACCCUUUCCUGCGGAAUAGCUCCGGGAAACUGGAAUUAAUACCGCAUACGCCCUACGGGGGAAAGAUUUAUCGGGGAAGGAUUGGCCCGCGUUGGAUUAGCUAGUUGGUGGGGUAAAGGCCUACCAAGGCGACGAUCCAUAGCUGGUCUGAGAGGAUGAUCAGCCACAUUGGGACUGAGACACGGCCCAAACUCCUACGGGAGGCAGCAGUGGGGAAUAUUGGACAAUGGGCGCAAGCCUGAUCCAGCCAUGCCGCGUGAGUGAUGAAGGCCUUAGGGUUGUAAAGCUCUUUCACCGGAGAAGAUAAUGACGGUAUCCGGAGAAGAAGCCCCGGCUAACUUCGUGCCAGCCGCCGCAGUAA